rnacentral:rRNA from 1 species
UCAGCCACACUGGGACUGAGACACGGCCCAGACUCCUACGGGAGGCAGCAGUGGGGAAUCUUGCGCAAUGGGCGAAAGCCUGACGCAGCAACGCCGCGUGGGGGAUGAAGGCCUUCGGGUUGUAAACCCCUUUCAGUGGGAACGAAAAUGACGGUACCCACAGAAGAAGCCCCGGCCAACUACGUGCCAGCAGCCGCGGUGAUACGUAGGGGGCUAGCGUUGUUCGGAAUUACUGGGCGUAAAGCGCGUGUAGGCGGGCUUUUAAGUCAGGGGUGAAAUGCCAAGGCUCAACCUUGGAACUGCCUUUGAUACUGGAAGUCUUGAGUCCGGGAGAGGUGAGUGGAACUGCGAGUGUAGAGGUGAAAUUCGUAGAUAUUCGCAAGAACACCAGUGGCGAAAGCGGCUCACUGGCCCGGAACUGACGCUGAGACGCGAAAGCUAGGGGAGCAAACGGGAUUAGAUACCCCGGUAGUCCUAGCCCUAAACGAUGAGUACUAGA